GCCGUGGUGGCUCAGUGGUUGAGCAUCGACCUAUAAACCAGGGGGUCAGGGUUCGAUUCCUGGUCAGGGCA
rfam:Myotis brandtii contig296658, whole genome shotgun sequence.